rnacentral:rRNA from 1 species
GUGCCAGCAGCCGCGGUAAGACGAACCACACAAACGUUAUUCGGAAUUACUGGGCUUAAAGGGUGCGUAGGCGGCGUGGAAAGUUGGGUGUGAAAUCCCUCAGCUUAACUGAGGAACAGCGCCCAAAACUACCAUGCUCGAGGGAGAUAGAGGAAUGCGGAACUUAGGGUGGAGCGGUGAAAUGCGUUGAUAUCCUAGGGAACACCGGUGGCGAAAGCGGCAUUCUGGAUCUCUUCUGACGCUGAGGCACGAAAGCUAGGGUAGCAAACGGGAUUAGAUACCCUCGUAGUCC